ACCACUUCGCGGACACUCUGGAAUGACCUGCCGGGCAUGCCACAACCACCUUUUAGAUGUGCCAGAACCAUGUGCUGGACACGCCGGAACCACCUACCGGACAGACCGGAAACACCUGCCGGACACGCCGGAACCACCUGCCGAGUACGCCAGAGUCGCCUGCUCGACUCGCUGGAACCACCUGCCGGACACGCCAAAAUCACCUGCUGGCUAUGCCAGAACCACGUGGCGGAUAGUCCUGAAUCACCUGCCGGGCAUGCCGGAACCAUGUCCUGGAGAGACUGGAACACCUGCCAGACACGCCUGAAUCAACUGCUGGGCAUGCCGCAACCACCUCUCAGACAUGCCAGAAACACGUGCCGGAGACACCGGAAGCACCAGCCAAGCACGCUGGAACCACCUGCUCAACUCUCCAGAACCACCUGUCGGACGCACCAAAAUCACCUGCGGGCUACGCCAGAACCACUGGGAGGACUCUCCGGGAUCACCGGCUGGGCAUGCCGGAACCACCUCUCAGACAUACCAGAACCAUGUACUGGACACGCCGGAACCACCUACCGGACAUCACGGAACCACCUGCCGGACACGCCGGAACCACCUGAUCCACUCGCCGGAACCACCUGCCGGAAACACCAAAAUCACCUGCCGGCUAUGCCAGAAACACGUGGCGGACAGUCGGAAACACCUACCGGGCAUGCCGGAACCGUGACCUGGACAGACUGGAACCACCUGCCGGACACGCCUGAACCACCUGCCAACCACGCCGGAAGCACCUGCUCGACUCGCCAGAACCACCAGCUGGACAUGCCAAAAUCACCUGCGGGCUAUGCCAGAAUCACUUGGCGGACACUCCAGAAUCACCUGCAGGGCAUGCCGGAACCACCUUUCAGACGCGCCAGAACCACAUGCCGGAGAUACCGGAAGCACCUGCCGAGCAUGCCGGAACGACCUGAUCCACUCCCCAGAACCGCCUUGCGGACAGGCCAAAAUCACCUGCGGGCUACACCAGAACCACUUGGCGGAAACUCCGGAAUCACCCGCCGGGCAUGCAGGAACCACCUCUCAGAUGUGUCAGAACAACAUGCCGGACACGCCGGAAGCACCUACCGGACAGGCCAGAAACACCAACCGGACACGCCGGAACCACCAGCUGAGCAUGCAGGAGCCAUCUGCUCGAGUCGCCGGAACAACGUGCUGGACAUGCCAAAAUCACCUGCGGGCUAUGCCAGAACCACUUGGCGGACACUCUGGAAUCAAUUGCCAGGCAUGACGGAACCACCUCUCCGACGUGCCACAACCACAUGCUGGACACGCUGGAAGCACAUGCCGAGCACGGCGGAACCACCUGCUCGACUUGCCGGAACAACCUGUCGUACACCCCAAAAUCACCUGAUGGCUACGCCAGAACCACUUGGCGGACACUCCAGAAUCAACUGUCGGGCAUGCUGGAACCACCUCUCAGACACGUCAGAACCACGUGCCUGACAUGCUGGAACCUCCUACUGGACAGACCGGAACCACAUGCCGAAAACGCCAGAAACACCUGCUCGACUUGCCGGAACCACCUCGCAGACAGACCGGAACCACCUGCCCGAAACGCCUGAACCACCUGCCGAGCACACCGGAACCAC
rnacentral:lncRNA from 1 species